rnacentral:misc_RNA from 2 species
AACGCACCUUGCGCCCUUUGGCUAUUCCGAAGGGCAUGCCUGUUUGAGUAUCAUGAACACCUCAACUCUCAUGGCUUGCUGUGAUGAGCUUGGACUUUGGGGGUCUUGUUGGCCUGUGAGCCAACUCCUCUUAAACGAAUUAGCUUGCCAGUGUUUGGUGGCAUCACAGGUGUGAUAACUAUCUACGCUUGUGGUUUCCCAUCAGAUAACCUUCAGCGAUGGAGGUUCACCGGGGCUUAUAAACAUCUCUCCUCGGUGAGGACAGAUUUUGACUGUUUGAUCUCAAAUCAGGUAGGACUACCCGCUGAACUUAA